rnacentral:rRNA from 1 species
UACGGAGGGGGCUAGCGUUGUUCGGAAUUACUGGGCGUAAAGCGCACGUAGGCGGUUUGUCGCGUCGGCUGUGAAAAGCCCGGAGCCUCAACUCCGGGUCUGCAGUCGAUACGGGCAGACUUGAGUGUUUGCAGGGGAGACUGGAAAUUCCUGGUGUAGCGGUGAAAAUGCGCAGAUAUCAGGAGGAACACCGGUGGCGAAAGGCGGGGUCUCUGGGGCAAACAACUGA